UGUUCCGCGUCCACGCCAUCAGUUUCUGUUAGCAAAUUGAUGCUCAUUGACCAGCCGCAUCAAUUUGAGGGGGGAUGUGAAUAAGGAGUUGACUUGUCCUCUUAAUUAUAAUUAUUAGUUUGUUUCUAGAAUAAGGAAAACAAAUCAAAUAUUGAUUUGUUCUCAUUAAAUGUAAUUAUUUAGUGUAAUUACCUGUAUA
rnacentral:lncRNA from 1 species